UUCCUACGGGGGGCAGCAGUGAGGAAUAUUGGGCAAUGGAGGCAACUCUGACCCAGCCAUGCCGCGCGAGUGAAGAAGGUUUUCGGAUUGUAAAGCUCUUUCGGAUGUGACGAUGAUGACGGUAGCAUCUAAAGAAGCCCCGGCUAGCUUCGUGCCAGCAGCCGCGGUAAUACGAAGGGGGCAAGCGUUGUUCGGGAUUACUGGGCGUAAAGGGAGUGUAGGCGGUUUAGUAAGAUAGUGGUGAAAUCCCAAAGCUUAACUUUGGAAUUGCCAUUAUAACUAUUAGACUAGAAUUACAGAGAGGA
rnacentral:rRNA from 1 species